UAUAAUGCUGCUGCUGCUGCUAAGUUGCUUCAGUCCUGUCUGACUCUAUGCGACCCCAGAGACGGCAGCGACUUUAUAUACGUAUAGGUAUAAAUAUAUUUUUAAUAUAAGUAACUGUUUCAUCUUUUCAGCUUGUCUCUUGGAGUAUUAACCCCAUUUUAAAGAUAAGGAACAUUGAGCAUCCAGAGUUUCAGUAAUUGGCCCAAGCUCAUGCAGUCAAGAGCGGAUGGAGGCCAUCUGGCUCCAGAGCACUGGAUUCCGGGCUGUCACCUCUCCAGUGUUGGAAGGAGCUCAAGUUCGGGACACAUGAAGCCUGAUUCCUUGGCACUGUGGUGGAGUAGCCCUGAGCUUCCCACUGGACUUUUCUCGUGGGGAGUUUGGGAGUUCCUGGUUACACCAUGCACAGCUCCACUCUCUGAAGUGCAUACAAGUGGGGACAAAGCAAGCGGAGCUCAGGGCUCUAAUACUAAGAACCAAGCUUCAGGGCCGGCGCUCCAUUUCUGUGUGAUCGAGAGGGUCCUGGUUGAUAAGAGGGGACUCUGGGAGUCCGGGGAGAGCAGGAGGGGCCUCUCCUUCUCUUCAGCUCGGAGACAGGCAUGCAACACCCUGCUGUCUGCAGAGGUCACUGUACACCAGCGAAACUACCUGCUGCGGAUGAAUGGGAGAAUUCUGGACCAAGGAGGGGCAAGAGAAGAAAAGCCCAGGAUCCUCUCCAUUCUCUGCCCUCACUGGAAGCACUGACAUUUCAAUUUUAACUACUUAAGUGAUUCUCAAAGUAAUUCUGCACACUGAAGACAUUUCGGAAAUCACGGAAAACGGUAAAGAAGCACAUAUACAAAUUUCCCCUAAGCUCACCAGCCAGAGGCAAUCCAUGUGUGGGGUGUUUUCCCUUCUAUUGGCUAAAAUUUUUUUUUCUUUAAGAAAUUGAGAGCUUACUUCCCACUGCAAACCUAUUACCUCAUAGGCGUUUCCCCACAUCGUUUGGAACCCUUGACUGUUAGAAGGUUUUUUACCCAGUGCUUUUAGUCACGUGGACGUACGGUAAUUGCCUCACCCGCUCCCCGACUGUAGGUCACUUAGGUUCUUUCCAGCUUUUCGUUAUAGCCUGUUCACAUUGCAGCAGACAUGUCUUUACGUACAUCCAUCUUCAGCCGCAUGUCGACUUUUAGAUUUUGGAGAAAAUAAUCAGAAAUCUGAGUCAAAAGUACAAACAUCUCAAGAAGAUUGAUAAAUAUCACCAAAUUAUUUGCUGAAAAGUUUCUAAAGAAACAGUAAAAAAAAAAGUGAACAAAGUAGGAACAUUUUUAAGGCUUUUGAUAAAGAUCACCAAGUGGCUUGCCAGAAAUAGCUCAUGAAUUUACACACCCCAGUGCCUACACGCGAAUGCUAUCCCUCUGUGCUUCAGUUAGCAGGGAGCAGUGUCUUUGAUAACUUAAUCUAUCUUAUUGCUAUUUGCAUUUCUUUGACCUUUAGAGAGAUCGAGCAUUCUUUCCGCCUCCACAUGUUUGUUAGCCUCUUAUAUUUGCUUUUUAUUAAGCCAUUUGCCCUUUUAUCCAUGAGCAUCUUUGUAUAUGUAUCUUCAAAACUGAUUUAUGUGGGUUCUUUAUAAAGUAAGGGCCCUCGCCAUCUGGCUGUGGUAUUUGUGCUAACAUUUUCCCCCAGUUGUUUGUCUUUUAAUUUUGCUUGAUUUUCUUAAUCGCACCGGAAUUUCUUGUUUUUAUGUAGCGUGGGACUGUCAAGCAUUUCCUCUGUGGUUUCUUCCACGGCUUUGAAGCUUAGAAAGCCCUUCCCCAUGUAAAGAUCAUUUGGUGAAGGGAGUUCCCAGGUGAUAGAUACAGUGGGCUCUUGGCCAGGUGGCCGGAGGUGACACAGUCUGGGGUGCCUGGGUUGGAUUUGUUACUUUUUACCGUGCUGGGCCAGAGACACUUUUUAAGGUUGUGCUGGGGGUUAGGUGGGGGAAUCCACUGAUGGUUUUUGAGCUGGGAGAGGGCAUACGGAAGGAGUGUGCCAGAGUCUGUGUCUUCAGGAUGCUACCAAAUACUGUAAUGUGUGAUUUCUACUGAGAACAAUGUGGAACCUGUUCUGGAAAGCUGUUAUGGGAAAUCCAAAAUUUAUAGCUCAGUGAAAUUGAAGAACUUUCUCCACUGUCUUCUGAGCCUGCAGCUGUUUGGGGAUUUGAAGGUGAUAUUUCUGAAUCUAUUACGAUCAGCACUGGGAGAGUUCCUCCAGGCCCGCAAAUUUCCUUACUUUACAGCAAAUUAAUACCUGCUGCUCUGCUUGCCCACCACGUCGCCGACACCUCCUGUCCGCCUGGCCUAGCUUCUCUCCACGCCCAGCCGGACCGCGAACCUUGAGCUCGGGCGCCCACUUCUCUGCUUAAUGAGGACAGCAGUUUCAAUAACUGAUUCUGCUAGAGAAACCGCACUUGAACAGCUUGUGAAAUCUCUGGGAAGGCGUUAUUCUGGGUGGUCAAAUUUUGGGUGAAUAAAAAGCUUACUCCUUA